rnacentral:tRNA from 1 species
GGCUGGAUAGCUCAGUUGGUAGAGCGAACGACUGAAAAUCGUUAGGUCCGCGGUUCAAUCCCGCGUCCAGCCACCA